UAAGCGGAGGAAAAGAAACUAACAAGGAUUCCCCUAGUAACUGCGAGUGAAGCGGAAAAGCUCAAAUUUGGAAUCUGGNGGUNUUUGGCCAUCCGAGUUGUAAUUUAGAGAAGNNUCUUCCGCGCUGGACCGUGCACAAGUCUCCUGGAAUGGAGCGUCAUAGAGGGUGAGAAUCCCGUCUUUGGCAUGGAAUCCCAGGGCUUCUGUGAUGCGCUCUCGACGAGUCGGGUUGUUUGGGAAUGCAGCUCAAAAUGGGUGGUGAACUCCAUCUAAAGNUAAAUAUUGGCGAGAGACCGAUAGCGAACAAGUNCCGUGAGGGAAAGAUGAAAAGCACUUUGGAAAGAGAGUGAAACAGUACGUGAAAUUGUUGAAAGGGAAACGCUUGAAGUCAGUCGCGUCGACCGAGACUCAGCCUUGCCUCGGCUUGGUGUACUUCUCGGCUUGACGGGUCAGCAUCGAUUUCAAUCCUCGGAUAAUGGCAAGGGAAAGGUAGCACCUUUUUAGGUGUGUUAUAGUCCUCUGUCGCAUGCGAGGGUCGGGAUCGAGGAACUCAGCACGCACCUCAGGGUGUCGGGGCCUUGGCCCACGUUUACGUGCUUAGGAUGCUGGCGUAAUGGCUUUAAACGACC
rnacentral:rRNA from 1 species